rfam:Xenopus tropicalis strain Nigerian Chr05_contig_3883, whole genome shotgun sequence.
GUGCUAGUAGUGUGGGGGUAUCAUGCUAGAUUCCCAUUCUUGCGACCCGGGUUCGAGUCCCGGCUAGCGCA